rnacentral:rRNA from 1 species
UACAGAGGAGCCAAGCGUUGUCCGGAUUGACUGGGCGUAAAGGGCGCGUAGGCGGCGCGGUAAGCGUGCGGUGAAAGCCCGGGGCUCAACCCCGGGUCGGCCGUGCGGACUGCCGGGCUGGAGCACUGUAGAGGCAGGUGGAAUUCCGGGUGUAGCGGUGGAAUGCGUAGAGAUCCGGAAGAACACCGGUGGCGAAGGCAGCUCACUGGGACGGUAUUGACGCUGAGACGCGAAAGCGUGGGGAGCAAACAGG